CGAACGCAUUUUGGCUUAUGGCUGCAAGUGGUGCUUCCAAUCAUCUGAGGAAGUCUUCAUCACAUCGACACAGUUCCUCUGCAUGCUUCCAGCAAACACCUUCCAGGAGCAUUUGCAGCGGUUGUUGUGAUGCUGGCAUAAGUACACAUCAUGCACGAGGGACAUUGAUGGACAAGGUUUUCGCCGACUAUCUCAAGUGAAUUCCCUGACCAAAACAAAAGAGAACUUGCUGCUUACUGCUACAUUCUGAUGCUGAUCCUUCAUAAAGGAAACCAGUUAUCGAAAAAUUAGUUGGCACCCAGUGCACCAGUUCAAAAUCUUGUUCAAAGUCUUACAGUUAAGAAACUGCAGCCUUUGACCCGAAG